GAGUUGAUUCGGGCUCCGGCCCGAUCCUCCCACCCUUUGUGUACCUACCUCUGUUGCUUUGGCGGGCCGCGGUUCUCCGCGGCCGCCCCCCUCCCCGGGGGGUGGCCAGCGCCCGCCAGAGGACCAUCAAACUCCAGUCAGUAAACGAUGCAGUCUGAAAAACAUUUAAUAAACUAAAACUUUCAACAACGGAUCUCUUGGUUCUGGCAUCGAUGAAGAACGCAGCGAAAUGCGAUAAGUAAUGUGAAUUGCAGAAUUCAGUGAAUCAUCGAAUCUUUGAACGCACAUUGCGCCCUUUGGUAUUCCGAAGGGCAUGCCUGUUCGAGCGUCAUUACAACCCUCAAGCUCUGCUUGGUAUUGGGCACCGUCCUUUGCGGGCGCGCCUCAAAGACCUCGGCGGUGGCGUCUUGCCUCAAGCGUAGUAGAACAUACAUCUCGCUUCGGAGCGCAGGGCGUCGCCCGCCGGACGAACCUUCUGAACUUUUCUCAAGGUUGACCUCGGAU
rnacentral:rRNA from 1 species